GGAUCCAGACUUUGAUCAUGGCUCAGAUUGAACGCUGGCGGCGUGCCUAACACAUGCAAGUCGAACGCGAAAGUUUCUUCGGAAAUGAGUAGAGUGGCGCACGGGUGAGUAACGCGUGGAUUAUCUACCUACUGGUACGGGACAACAGUUGGAAACGACUGCUAAUACCGUAUACGCUGGUAACGGGAAAGGGGGCCUCUUCUUGAAAGCUCUCGCCAGUAGAUGAGUCCGCGUUUCAUUAGCUAGACGGUGGGGUAACGGCCUACCGUGGCAACGAUGAAUAGCAGGCCUGAGAGGGUGGCCUGCCACACUGGGACUGGAACACGGCCCAGACUCCUACGGGAGGCAGCAGUGGGGAAUAUUGCGCAAUGGACGAAAGUCUGACGCAGCGACGCCGCGUGGAGGAUGAAGGUUUUCGGAUCGUAAACUCCUGUCAGAGGGAAGAAACCUAUCAUGAAUAAUACUCAUGGUAAUUGACGGUACCUCUAGAGGAAGCACCGGCUAAUUCAGUGCCAGC
rnacentral:rRNA from 1 species